rnacentral:rRNA from 1 species
UACGUAGGGGCUAGCGUUGUCCGGAAUCAUUGGCGUAAAGAGCGUGUAGGCGGCCAGGUAGGUCUGGUGUGAAAACUCGAGGCUUAACCUCGAGAUGUCAUCGGAAACCAUCUGGCUAGAGUCCGGAAGAGGAGAGUGGAAUUCCUGGUGUAGCGGUGAAAUGCGCAGAUAUCAGGAAGAACACCAAUGGCGAAAGCAGCUCUCUGGGACGGUACUGACGCUGAGACGCGAAAGCGUGGGGAGCGAACAGG